GAUGAACGCUGGCGGCGUGCCUAAUACAUGCAAGUCGAGCGAACGGACGAGAAGCUUGCUUCUCUGAUGUUAGCGGCGGACGGGUGAGUAACACGUGGAUAACCUACCUAUAAGACUGGGAUAACUUCGGGAAACCGGAGCUAAUACCGGAUAAUAUUUUGAACCGCAUGGUUCAAAAGUGAAAGACGGUCUUGCUGUCACUUAUAGAUGGAUCCGCGCUGCAUUAGCUAGUUGGUAAGGUAACGGCUUACCAAGGCAACGAUGCAUAGCCGACCUGAGAGGGUGAUCGGCCACACUGGAACUGAGACACGGUCCAGACUCCUACGGGAGGCAGCAGUAGGGAAUCUUCCGCAAUGGGCGAAAGCCUGACGGAGCAUCGCCGCGUGAGUGAUGAAGGUCUUCGGAUCGUAAAACUCUGUUAUUAGGGAAGAACAUAUGUAUAAGUAACUGUGCACAUCUUGACGGUACCUAAUCAGAAAGCCACGGCUAACUACGUG
rnacentral:rRNA from 1 species